UCCCAAAAAUCCCACAGGGGUUGGGAUGCCGUGAUUCCCAGGGGGGCUGCUCCAGGAAUGCCCCAAAAUUCAUGGGAAAACAGCCCCAAAUUCAUGGAGAAACAGCCCCAAAUCCCUGGAAAAACAGCCCCAAAUUCAUGGGAAAAUGGUCACAAAUCCCUGGAAAAAUAGCCCCAAAAUCCCUGGAAAUACAGCCCCAAACUCAUGGAAAACCACCCCAAAUUCAUGGAAAAACAGCCCAAAAUCCUUGGAAAAAUGCACCCAAAAUCCCUGGAAAAAUAGCCCCAUAUCCAUGGGAAAAUGGUCACAAAUCCAUGGAAAAACAGCCCCAAAUUCAUGGAGAAACAGCCCCAAAAUCCCUGGAAAAACAACCCCAAAAUCCCUGGGAAAACAGCCCCAAAUCCAUGGAAAAACAGCCCCAAAUUCCUUGGAAAAAUGCCCCCAAAAUCCCGGGAAAAAGAGCCCCAAAUCCAUGGGAAAAUGGUCACAAAUCCCUGGGAAAAACAGCCCCAAAUUAAUGGAAAAACAGCCCCAAAAUCCUUGGAAAAAUGCCCCCAAAAUCCCGGGAAAAAUAGCCCCAAAUCCAUGGGAAAAUGGUCACAAAUCCCUGGAAAAAUGGCCCCAAAAUCCCUGGAAAUACAGCCCCAAACUCAUGGAAAAACAGCCCCAAAUUCAUGGAAAAACAGCCCCAAAUUCAUGGAAAAAUGCCCCCAAAAUCCCUGGAAAAACAGCCCCAAAUUCAUGGAAAACCACCCCAAAAUUCCUGGAAAAACAACCCCAAAACCUCUGGAAAAAUAGCCCCAAAUCCAUGGAAAAAUGCCCCAAAAUCACUGGGAAAAUGGCCACAAAAUUCCAUGGAAAAAUAAUCCAAAAUCCGUGGAAAAAACAACCCCAAAAAUACUGUAAAAACAGCUCCCAAAUCCCUGGAAAAACGGCUCCAAAUUCCUGGAAAAUCAGUUCCAAAAUCCCUGGAAAAACAACCCCAAAUCCCCGGGAAAACAUCCCCAAAAUCCCUGGGAAAACGGCCACAAAUUCCUGGGAAAAACAGCCCCAAAAUUCCUGGAAAUACAGCCCCAAAAUCUCUGUGAAAAGGGCUCCAAAAUUCCUGGGAAAAUGGCCACAAAUUCCUUGGAAAAAUGGCCCCAAAAUCUCUGGAAAAACAGCCCCAAAAUCCUGAUAAAAUGGCCCCAAAAUCUCUGGAAAAAGAGCUCCAAAAUCCCUGGAAAAACACCCCAAAUCCCUUGAAAAACACUCUAAAUCCUUGGAAAAUGGCCCCAAAAUCCCU
rnacentral:lncRNA from 1 species